rnacentral:rRNA from 1 species
UACAGAGGUCUCAAGCGUUGUUCGGAAUCACUGGGCUUAAAGGGCGCGUAGGCGGCUUGGCAAGUCAGGGGUGAAAUCUUUCGGCCCAACCGGAAAAGUGCCUCUGAUACUGCCGAGCUCGAGGGAGGUAGGGGCAGACGGAACUUCCGGUGGAGCGGUGAAAUGCGUUGAUAUCGGAAGGAACGCCGGUGGCGAAAGCGGUCUGCUGGCCCUCCACUGACGCUGAGGCGCGAAAGCCAGGGGAGCAAACGGG